GCCAUUUCUUGGGCUGCUCCCGCAGCAUAUGGAGGUUCCCAGGCUAGGGGUCUAAUUGGAGCUGUAGCCACCGGCCUACGCCAGAGCCACAGUAACACCAGAUCCAAGUCGCGUCUGUGACCCACACCACAGCUCAUGGCAACGCUGGAUCCUUAAUCCACUGAGCAAGGCCAGGGAUCCAACCCGCAACCUCAUGGUUCCUAGUCGGAUUCGUUAACCACUGAGCCAUGACAGGAACUCCAUGUCUCAGUCUCUUAAUCAAUAAAAUGGGGAUAAUAAUAGUACAUAAUUCAUACAGUUGUUAUGAGCAUUCAAUGAUGUCAUAUUUGUAAAAUGCUUAAAAGACUGCCUGGCAUAUCACAAUGAGUCCAUAGAGUGUGUUAAAUAAAACUAAUAUAUAUAAAAUAACCCCACAGCCAGGAAGUGUGGAGGAGGCCUGUGGCAAUAAUAUCCAGGUUAAAUUACUUGCUUGUUUGUUUUAAGUCCAAUCUGAGUUUCACUAGUUAAGGUCCAGUAGUUGAUAGUGAAUUAUUUUUUUUAAAUAACAAUAUUUAUAAUAUCACACCAAUAUUUUAAUGCUUUGCUUAAGUUAAUGAAUUGCCAUGUACACUUAAUAAUGGAAGAUACCAACUAUCUCUUUAUUGGAACAAUGUUAAAAAAAAGUGCCAUUUCCCACACCAGAUAAAAAUCAUAUAUUGUCUACUUUUUAAAUGGAGAGUGUAUAAAUAAAGUUGGUGAUCGAGAGGGUCAUAAAACUGUGAAUGAAGUUAGGAGACUGAACUACUGAAGUACAGAGCAGUGGUAAUGGGAUGUAGAUUGUAGAUUUGCUAGCAUGUGGAUUUCCCAGGCAGUUUUACCAGCCACACCAUCAACCCUUUUUAUGAUUAAAUGGAAUUGCAGAUCACUGGCAACAAGACCCUGGAUUCCAGCCAGCCCAGCAACACUGAAGCCACACUCCCUCCAGCUCCGCUCUGCAGGGUGAGAUGUUUGUGGAUGAUAAAUGGUAGCAGGACACUGAGGCAGGAGCCGAGUUAAGUGGAGCAAACUCAGACUUGGCAGGCAGAUGAAAUGUGCUAAGCACACACCAAACGUAACAUCAAGCCAUGUGGCAAAGCUGUGAGACACCAGGAAGCAGUAGAAAUUGCCACCAAGAUUACAUGUGACAGAGACUUUGGAGUAUUGGGAGCCUAUGAGGCAAGAAAACCACAGACCACACACAGCAAUAGGCUGGAGUGAAAGGUUCUGUGGAUCACUCAUCUUCCUGGGCCUCUUCCCUAUCUGGGGGCAGCAACAGUGUCAGCAGUUAUAAACAGGCUUAUGACAAUAAUCAAUGUAAUACAAGAUGAGCAUACAUAAUGAUGUGUUGAGUUCCUGUUGUGGUUUUCAAGUGCCAGUUUUCUGUUUGCUGUUUUAAUAAAAUUUACCUAAUGAGAGGAAACUGAUACAAUGCCAUUUUUCACAUUUUAUUAAUUUCCUUAUGUUCAAACAAAGUAAAUGCACUCCAACAAUUGGAUUUUCAUGAGGAAUAAAUGAGAUAAUAGCUGCUCCUGAGGCAUAUGGAGGUUCCCAGGCGAGGGGUCUAAUCGGAGCUGUAGCAAUGUGGGAUCCGAGUUGCAUCUGUGACCUACACCACAGCUCAUGGCAACGCUGGAACCUUAACCCACUGAGCAAAGCCAGGGAUUGAACCCGAAACCUCAUUGUUCCUAGUCGGAUUCAUUAACCACUGAGCCACAACAGGAACUCCUUAAAAUAGGUUUUUUAUAUAUUAGUCUUGUUUUUAUUAAUCCAUCCUCAGAAUCUGUCCUUUAAUUGGUCUGUUUAUAUUUAUUUAUUUAUUUAUUUAUUUAUUUAUUUAUUUAUUUAUUUAUUUUCCACGGCAUAUGGAAGUUCCUGGGCCAGAGAUCAAAUCAGAGCUGUGACUGUGAGCUAUGUCAUAUCCUUUAACCCACUGUGCUGGGCCAGGAUCGAACCUGCAUCUCUGCAGCAAUCCAAGUAGCUGCACUUGGAUUCUUAGCCCACUGGGCCACAGUGGCAACUCCUUAAUUGGUCUCUUCAGAUUAUUCAAAAUUAAAGAAAUGAUUGAUAUCAUGGAAUUAAUAUUUAUAUAGUUUGUACCUCUUUUCUCUUUGUUACAUUUGCUGUUUGUUUCUAUCUGGCCAUCUUCCUUUUUCAUGCCUUCUCAAGUUUCAAACAGCAUUUAAUAUGAUUCUAUUUUAUCACCUCUUUCAGUGUAUCAACUACACUUCUUUAAAGAAAAAUUUUUUUUCGUUGCAUUACAGUUUACAAUACACAUUUAAACUAAUGUCCACCUUCAAAUAAUAUUAUACCACUUCUCAUGUAGUACAGGUGAUUUAUAAUAGAUCUUCCAUUCCUACUUCUCAUCAUUUUUGACAUUGCUGUUGUACAUUUUAUUUAGCUGUACACUAUGACUACCCAACACAUUGUCCCUAUUAUUACUUUAAACAAUUACCCUUUAAUUAAAUUCAUUUUAAGAAAAAAAUUUAAAAAUUACUUUGCUUUCACUUAUUUCUUCUCUGAUGCUUUUUCCUUCAUGUAGAUCCUAAUAUCUGAUGUACAGCAUUUGCCUUCUGCCUGAAGAACUUCCUUUAACAUUU
rnacentral:lncRNA from 1 species